rnacentral:rRNA from 1 species
GAUGAACGCUGGCGGCGUGCCUAAUACAUGCAAGUCGAGCGAACGGACGAGAAGCUUGCUUCUCUGAUGUUAGCGGCGGACGGGUGAGUAACACGUGGAUAACCUACCUAUAAGACUGGGAUAACUUCGGGAAACCGGAGCUAAUACCGGAUGAUAUUUUGAACCGCAUGGUUCAAAAGUGAAAGACGGUCUUGCUGUCACUUAUAGAUGGAUCCGCGCUGCAUUAGCUAGUUGGUAAGGUAACGGCUUACCAAGGCAACGAUGCAUAGCCGACCUGAGAGGGUGAUCGGCCACACUGGAGCUGAGACACGGUCCAGACUCCUACGGGAGGCAGCAGUAGGGAAUCUGCCGCAAUGGUCGAAAGCCUGACGGAGCAACGCCGCGUGAGUGAUGAAGGCCUUCGGAUCGUAAAGCUCUGUUAUUAGGGAAGAACAUAUGUGUAAGUAACUGUGCACAUCUUGACGGUACCUAAUCAGAAAGCCACGGCUAACUACGUG